rnacentral:rRNA from 1 species
GGGUGUGAUAAUACUAGCAUUAAUACACCAGAUCCCAUAAGAAAUUUGCAGUUAAGCACGCUUGAGCUAGAGUAGUACUGGGAUGGGUGACCUCCCAGGAGGUCCUAGUGUUGCACCCU